GAAUGACUUGGAAAGGUCAAUCGUAGAGGGUGAUAAUCCCGUACUCGAAAGGUUAUAAGAAGCAUAUUAAGUAGGGCGGAACACGAGAAAUUCUGUCUGAAGAUGGGGGGACCAUCCUCCAAGGCUAAAUACUCCUGACUGACCGAUAGUGAACCAGUACCGUGAGGGAAAGGCGAAAAGAACCCCGGAGAGGGGAGUGAAAUAGAACCUGAAACCGGAUGCCUACAAACAGUUGAAGCCCAAGGU
rnacentral:rRNA from 1 species